ACAUACAAAGCAAUAUAGUUUACACAGCACAUCGUUAUUCAUACAUCUCAGUACUUAUUCGUAUUACUCAACAAAAAUGAAUUACUCGGGAGAUUCUGAAGACAAAAGGGGUUCCCAGUCUUCACAAGGUACUGGGAAAAAGCCUCCUUCCACCCUAGCUGGUGCCAUGAGCUCCGCCAAAAGUUCAAAACACAAAACAGGUUCCAAGUCUUCUGGAAAUGGUACUCAGACACAUGAACAUGAUGUUUCCAUGCGUGACAAACUCAGCGGUGCGGAUGAUUCUAGGAAAAAAAAUGGUUCUAAAAAAAGUCAAGGAAGAUAGAUAUCAAGGGCUUUGUUGUAUAAGGAAAGAAAAUAAGAAGGAAAAAUGAAGUUUGUUUAAACAUGUCUGAAACUUUAUUUUAAAAAUCCCCUGUUGUUUAGAUUCUGGUUUGUAUGUACCAAGAAGUACAUGGGAAUUUAGAUAGAUAAAUAAAUAAGCUUUUAAUAGUGUCAUUCAUGUAGUCAAUCUUAUAUGGAAGAUAAGGUUUUACUGUUGUUGC
rnacentral:lncRNA from 1 species